rnacentral:rRNA from 1 species
CAGAUUGAACGCUGGCCGCAUGCUUUACACAUGCAAGUCGAACGGUAACAGGCCGCAAGGUGCUGGCGAGUGGCGAACGGGUGAGUAAUGCAUCGGAACGUGCCCAGUCGUGGAGGAUAACGCAGCGAAAGCUGUGCUAAUACCGCAUACGAUCUAUGGAUGAAAGCCGGGGACCGUAAGGCCUCGCGCGAUUGGAGCGGCCGAUGUCAGAUUAGCUAGUUGGUGGGGUAAAGGCCCACCAAGGCGGCGAUCUGUAGCUGGUCUGAGAGGACGACCAGCCACACUGGAACUGAGACACGGCCCAGACUCCUACGGGAGGCAGCAGUGGGGAAUUUUGGACAAUGGGCGCAAGCCUGAUCCAGCAGUGCCGCGUGCAGGAAGAAGGCCUUCGGGUUGUAAACUGCUUUUGUACGGGACGAAACGGUCUGGGUUAAUACCUCGGGCUAAUGACGGUACCGUAAGAAUAAGCACCAGCUAACUACGUGCCAGCAGCCGCGGUAAUACGUAGGGUGCAAGCGUUAAUCGGAAUUACUGGCCGUAAAGCGUGCGCAGGCGGUUUUGUAAGACAGUCGUGAAAUCCCCGGGCUCAACCUGGAAAUUGCGAUUGUGACUGCAAAGCUGGAGUGCGGCAGAGGGGGAUGGAAUUCCGCGUGUGGCAGUGAAAUGCGUAGAUAUGCGGAGGAACACCGAUGGCGAAGGCAAUCCCCUGGGCCUGCACUGACGCUCAUGCACGAAGGCGUGGGGAGCAAACAGGAUUAGAUACCCUGGUAGUCCACGCCCUAAAUGAUGU